AGCGUACACGGUGGAUGCCCUGGCAGUCAGAGGCGAUGAAGGACGUGCUAAUCUGCGAAAAGCGUCGGUAAGGUGAUAUGAACCGUUAUAACCGGCGAUGUCCGAAUGGGGAAACCCAGUGCAAUUCGUUGCACUAUCGUUAACUGAAUACAUAGGUUAACGAGGCGAACCGGGGGAACUGAAACAUCUAAGUACCCCGAGGAAAAGAAAUCAACCGAGAUUCCCCCAGUAGCGGCGAGCGAACGGGGAGCAGCCCAGAGUCUGAAUCAGCUUGUGUGUUAGUGGAACGGUCUGGAAAGUCCGACGGUACAGGGUGAUAGUCCCGUACACCAAAAUGCACAGGCUGUGAACUCGAAGAGUAGGGCGGGACACGUGGUAUCCUGUCUGAAUAUGGGGGGACCAUCCUCCAAGGCUAAAUACUCCUGACUGACCGAUAGUGAACCAGUACCGUGAGGGAAAGGCGAAAAGAACCCCGGCGAGGGGAGUGAAAAAGAACCUGAAACCGUGUACGUACAAGCAGUGGGAGCACCUUCGGGUGUGACUGCGUACCUUUUGUAUAAUGGGUCAGCGACUUAUAUUCUGUAGCAAGGUUAACCGUAUAGGGGAGCCGCAGGGAAACCGAGUCUUAACUGGGCGUUAAGUUGCAGGGUAUAGACCCGAAACCCGGUGAUCUAGCCAUGGGCAGGUUGAAGGUUGGGUAACACUAACUGGAGGACCGAACCGACUAAUGUUGAAAAAUUAGCGGAUGACUUGUGGCUGGGGGUGAAAGGCCAAUCAAACCGGGAGAUAGCUGGUUCUCCCCGAAAGCUAUUUAGGUAGCGCCUCGUGAACUCAUCUUCGGGGGUAGAGCACUGUUUCGGCUAGGGGGUCAUCCCGACUUACCAACCCGAUGCAAACUACGAAUACCGAAGAAUGUUAUCACGGGAGACACACGGCGGGUGCUAACGUCCGUCGUGAAGAGGGAAACAACCCAGACCGCCAGCUAAGGUCCCAAAGUCAUGGUUAAGUGGGAAACGAUGUGGGAAGGCACAGACAGCCAGGAUGUUGGCUUAGAAGCAGCCAUCAUUUAAAGAAAGCGUAAUAGCUCACUGGUCGAGUCGGCCUGCGCGGAAGAUGUAACGGGGCUAAACCAUGCACCGAAGCUGCGGCAGCGACACUAUGUGUUGUUGGGUAGGGGAGCGUUCUGUAAGCCUGCGAAGGUGACCUGUGAGGGUUGCUGGAGGUAUCAGAAGUGCGAAUGCUGACAUAAGUAACGAUAAAGCGGGUGAAAAGCCCGCUCGCCGGAAGACCAAGGGUUCCUGUCCAACGUUAAUCGGGGCAGGGUGAGUCGACCCCUAAGGCGAGGCCGAAAGGCGUAGUCGAUGGGAAACAGGUUAAUAUUCCUGUACUUGGUGUUACUGCGAAGGGGGGACGGAGAAGGCUAUGUUAGCCGGGCGACGGUUGUCCCGGUUUAAGCAUGUAGGCUGGUUGUCCAGGCAAAUCCGGAUAAUCAAGGCUGAGGUGUGAUGACGAGGCACUACGGUGCUGAAGUAACAAAUGCCCUGCUUCCAGGAAAAGCCUCUAAGCAUCAGGUAACAUUAAAUCGUACCCCAAACCGACACAGGUGGUCAGGUAGAGAAUACCAAGGCGCUUGAGAGAACUCGGGUGAAGGAACUAGGCAAAAUGGUGCCGUAACUUCGGGAGAAGGCACGCUGGUGUGUAGGUGAAGUCCCUGCGGAUGGAGCUGAGACCAGUCGAAGAUACCAGCUGGCUGCAACUGUUUAUUAAAAACACAGCACUGUGCAAACACGAAAGUGGACGUAUACGGUGUGACGCCUGCCCGGUGCCGGAAGGUUAAUUGAUGGGGUUAUCCGUAAGGAGAAGCUCUUGAUCGAAGCCCCGGUAAACGGCGGCCGUAACUAUAACGGUCCUAAGGUAGCGAAAUUCCUUGUCGGGUAAGUUCCGACCUGCACGAAUGGCGUAAUGAUGGCCAGGCUGUCUCCACCCGAGACUCAGUGAAAUUGAACUCGCUGUGAAGAUGCAGUGUACCCGCGGCAAGACGGAAAGACCCCGUGAACCUUUACUAUAGCUUGACACUGAACAUUGAGCCUUGAUGUGUAGGAUAGGUGGGAGGCUUUGAAGCGUGGACGCCAGUCUGCGUGGAGCCAACCUUGAAAUACCACCCUUUAAUGUUUGAUGUUCUAACGUUGGCCCCUGACCGGGGUUGCGGACAGUGUCUGGUGGGUAGUUUGACUGGGGCGGUCUCCUCCCAAAGCGUAACGGAGGAGCACGAAGGUUAGCUAAUCCUGGUCGGACAUCAGGAGGUUAGUGCAAUGGCAUAAGCUAGCUUGACUGCGAGCGUGACGGCGCGAGCAGGUGCGAAAGCAGGUCAUAGUGAUCCGGUGGUUCUGAAUGGAAGGGCCAUCGCUCAACGGAUAAAAGGUACUCCGGGGAUAACAGGCUGAUACCGCCCAAGAGUUCAUAUCGACGGCGGUGUUUGGCACCUCGAUGUCGGCUCAUCACAUCCUGGGGCUGAAGUAGGUCCCAAGGGUAUGGCUGUUCGCCAUUUAAAGUGGUACGCGAGCUGGGUUUAGAACGUCGUGAGACAGUUCGGUCCCUAUCUGCCGUGGGCGCUGGAGAAUUGAGGGGGGCUGCUCCUAGUACGAGAGGACCGGAGUGGACGCAUCACUGGUGUUCGGGUUGUCAUGCCAAUGGCACUGCCCGGUAGCUAAAUGCGGAAGAGAUAAGUGCUGAAAGCAUCUAAGCACGAAACUUGCCCCGAGAUGAGUUCU
rnacentral:rRNA from 2 species